rnacentral:rRNA from 1 species
ACACGACUACAUUAGAUACCCGUGUAGUCCUAGCCGUAAACGAUACUCGCUAGGUGUCGGCCACGGUGCGACCGUUGUCGGUGCCGUAGGGAAGCCGUGAAGCGAGCCACCUGGGAAGUACGGCCGCAAGGCUGAAACUUAAAGGAAUUGGCGGGGGAGCACAACAACGGGUGGAGCUUGCGGUUUAAUUGGAUUCAACGCCGGAAAUCUUGCCGGGACCGACAGCAACAUGAAGGCCAAGCUGAAGACUUUGCCGGAUUAGCUG